rnacentral:rRNA from 1 species
CAUGCAAGNCGAGCGGCAGCGGGUCCUUCGGGAUGCCGGCGAGCGGCGGACGGGUGAGUAAUGCCUAGGAAUCUGCCUGGUAGUGGGGGAUAACUCGGGGAAACUCGAGCUAAUACCGCAUACGUCCUACGGGAGAAAGCGGGGGAUCUUCGGACCUCGCGCUACCAGAUGAGCCUAGGUCGGAUUAGCUAGUUGGUGAGGUAAAGGCUCACCAAGGCGACGAUCCGUAGCUGGUCUGAGAGGAUGAUCAGCCACACUGGAACUGAGACACGGUCCAGACUCCUACGGGAGGCAGCAGUGGGGAAUAUUGGACAAUGGGCGAAAGCCUGAUCCAGCCAUGCCGCGUGUGUGAAGAAGGUCUUCGGAUUGUAAAGCACUUUAAGUUGGGAGGAAGGGCAGUAAGUUAAUACCUUGCUGUUUUGACGUUACCGACAGAAUAAGCACCGGCUAACUUCGUGCCAGCAGCCGCGGUAAUACGAAGGGUGC